rnacentral:rRNA from 1 species
GCCUAAAGCGUCCGUAGCCUGUUCUGUAAGUUUUCGGUUAAAUCUGUACGCUCAACGUACAGGCUGCCGGAAAUACUGCAGAACUAGGGAGUGGGAGAGGUAGACGGUACUCGGGAGGAAGUGGUAAAAUGCUUUGACCUCCCGAUGACCACCUGUGGCGAAGGCGGUCUACCAGAACACGUCCGACGGUGAGGGAUGAAAGCUGGGGGAGCAAACCGGAUUAGAUACCCGGGUAGUCCCAGCUGUAAACUAUGCAAACUCAGUGAUGCAUUGGCUUGUGGCCAAUGCAGUGUUGCAGGGAAGCCGUUAAGUUUGCCGCCUGGGAAGUACGUACGCAAGUAUGAAACUUAAAGGAAUUGGCGGGGGAGCACCACAAGGGGUGAAGCCUGCGGUUCAAUUGGAGUCAACGCCAGAAAUCUUACCCGGAGAGACAGCAGAAUGAAGGUCAAGCUGAAGACUUUACCAGACAACGUAAAUCACUGAGAGGGGUCAGCCGCGCACCGUCCGGAGACGUCCUGUUAAGUCAGGUAACGAGCGAGAUCCCUGCCUCUAGUUGCCACCAUUACUCUCAGGAGUAGUGGGGCGAAUUAGCGGGACCGCCGCAGUUAAUGCGGAGGAAGGAAGGGGCCACGGCAGGUCAGUAUGCCCCGAA